rnacentral:rRNA from 1 species
UGACGUAGGGACCAAGCGGGUUGUUCGGAAUUUACUGGGCCGGUAAAGGGUCGCGGUAGGAGCGGCAUGACAAGGUCACUUGUGAAAACUCGUCCCGGGACCGUUAACUCGGAACGGUCAAGUGAUACUGGUCGCGCGUAGGAGUGCGGAAGGGGCAAUCGAGAAAUUCUUGGUGUAGCGGUGUAAAGUGACGUACGAUAUCAAAGGAGGGAAUCACCCUUGGAGGUGAAGACGGGAUUGCUUAGGCCGGACACAU